rnacentral:rRNA from 1 species
UACAGAGGUCCCGAGCGUUGUUCGGAUUCAUUGGGCGUAAAGGGUGCGUAGGCGGCGGGGCGAGUCUGAUGUGAAAUCCCCGGGCUCAACCCGGGAACUGCAUUGGAUACUGCCUUGCUAGAGUACUGGAGAGGGAACUGGAAUUUACGGUGUAGCAGUGAAAUGCGUAGAGAUCGUAAGGAAGGCCAGUGGCGAAGGCGAGUUCCUGGACAGUGACUGACGCUGAGGCACGAAGGCCAGGGGAGCAAACGGG